GGAAGUAAAAGUCGUAACAAGGUUUCCGUAGGUGAACCUGCGGAAGGAUCAUUACUGAUUUGCUUAAUUGCACCACAUGUGUUUUUUAUUGAACAAAUUUCUUUGGUGGCGGGAGCAAUCCUACCGCCAGAGGUUAUAACUAAACCAAACUUUUUAUUUACAGUCAAACUUGAUUUAUUAUUACAAUAGUCAAAACUUUCAACAACGGAUCUCUUGGUUCUCGCAUCGAUGAAGAACGCAGCGAAAUGCGAUACGUAAUAUGAAUUGCAGAUAUUCGUGAAUCAUCGAAUCUUUGAACGCACAUUGCGCCCUUUGGUAUUCCAAAGGGCAUGCCUGUUUGAGCGUCAUUUCUCCCUCAAACCCCCGGGUUUGGUGUUGAGCAAUACGCUAGGUUUGUUUGAAAGAAUUUAACGUGGAAACUUAUUUUAAGCGACUUAGGUUUAUCCAAAAACGCUUAUUUUGCUAGUGGCCACCACAAUUUAUUUCAUAACUUUGACCUCAAAUCAGGUAGGACUACCCGCUGAACUUAAGCAUAUCAAUAAGCGGAGGAAA
rnacentral:rRNA from 1 species